rnacentral:rRNA from 1 species
GACGAACGCUGGCGGCGUGCUUAACACAUGCAAGUCGAGCGGUAAGGCCCUUUCGGGGUACGACGAGCGGCGAACGGGUGAGUAACGACGUGGGUGACCUGCCUCAGCUCUGGGAUAAGCCUAGGGAAACUGGGUCUAAUACUGGAUAUGACUCCAUGACGCAUGUUGUGGGUGGAAAGCCUUGUGCGGCUGAGGAUGGG